UACGUAGGGUGCGAGCGUUAAUCGGAAUUACUGGGCGUAAAGUGUGCGCAGGCGGCCGAGCAAGUCGAGUGUGAAAGCCCCGGGCUUAACCUGGGAACUGCGCUCGAAACUACUUGGCUGGAGUGUGGCAGAGGGAGGUGGAAUUCCGACGUGUAGCGGUGAAAUGCGUAGAGAUGUGGAGGAACACCGAUGGCGAAGGCAGCCUCCUGGGCCAACACUGACGCUCAUGCACGAAAGCGUGGGGAGCAAACAGG
rnacentral:rRNA from 1 species